CCUACGGGAGGCAGCAGUGGGGAAUAUUGGACAAUGGGGGGAACCCUGAUCCAGCGACGCCGCGUGAGUGAAGAAGUAUUUCGGUAUGUAAAGCUCUAUCAGCAGAGAAGAAAGAAAUGACGGUACCUGACCAAGAAGCCCCGGCUAACUACGUGCCAGCAGCCGCGGUAAUACGUAGGGGGCAAGCGUUAUCCGGAUUUACUGGGUGUAAAGGGAGCGUAGACGGCGAUGCAAGUCUGAAGUGAAAGGCGGGGGCCCAACCUCCGGACUGCUUUGGAAACUGUAUGGCUGGAGUGCAGGAGAGGUGAGUGGAAUUCCUAGUGUAGCGGUGAAAUGCGUAGAUAUUAGGAGGAACACCAGUGGCGAAGGCGGCUUACUGGACUGUAACUGACGUUGAGGCUCGAAAGCGUGGGGAGCAAACAGGAUUAGAUACCCCAGUAGUC
rnacentral:rRNA from 1 species